GCAGGUUACACCACCCCCAACCUGGACCCCAUCCAAUAGGCUCGUGGUCCCUGAUGGUCCUGGACCACUGAUUUGAGGCCUUUCUGCUUCCUUUGAUUCAGUCUUUGGCAGAGACCCAGGAGCAGGAGUCCUUGAUGGCACCUGGCCCUUUCUAGUCACCGACAAGGGAAACCUGAGAAACCAUUCUCAGAAAUGGAACUAAAUUGACACAGCAUUUGUCUCCUCCAGAGGAUACAGCACCAAGGCGCCAUCUUGGAAGUAGACUGGAGCUCUUAGCAGACCAGAACCUGUGGGCCUCCUAAGACGAUGUUGCUGGAUGUCCCCUGCUGACCCCACAG
rnacentral:lncRNA from 10 species